CACCUCCCGCUCGCGCCGGAUCCGUAAGGGGACAAUCCACCGAACAGCCACACAGCUUGUUUGCCGCACCCGCUGCAGGCGAGUAGAGCGACGUUAUCAGCUCUGACCACCACCGUCAUCGUGGACGUAGCCGUUCUCGAUUCUUUGCUUUCGUUCUACGGAGACCUCCGGCUCUCCUGCCGUCACGACGCUACAGCUGUAUCGCAUUCCUCUCCGUAAACGCCUCGAAAACAGCGACAAUGCCGGUGGCGCCGCUUCAUCCAGAGCUCCAGCGCGUGCUCAAAGAGAACCGUAGGGCCCGCGCUUUCGACCCGGGUGCGUGGAUUGAGAUGAAGUGCGCGAAGCUGAACGACUACAUGCGCCGGUGCGGUCUGAAGGCCUGCGUGACGAGUGUCUCGGGCGGGAUCGACUCGGCAGUCGUGCUCGCCAUGUGUGCGCGCGCAAUGCGGGCGCACAACAGCCCCAUUAAGAAAAACGUGGGACUGUGCCAGCCCAUCCACAGUAGUGACUGGGCACUGAGGAGGGGAAAGGAGAACAUCGCCGCCUGCGGUGCGACGGAGGUCGUUGUUGACCAAACCGCCCUUCACACCGAACUCGUCACGCUUGUAGAGAAGGCUGUCGGCAUUGACGGCGGCGCCUUUGCGCGUGGGCAGCUGCGCAGCUACAUGCGUACCCCAACGGGCUUUUACGUGGCGCAGCUGCUCACCCAAGAAGGUACGCCGGCAGUUGUCAUGGGCACCGGCAACAAGGACGAAGACUUUUACCUGGGCUACUUCUGCAAGGCUGGCGACGGUGUCGUGGAUGUGCAGAUCAUCUCCGACCUACACAAGAGCGAGGUGUUUCUCGUCGCCGAGGUCCUUGGGGUGCCGGAGAACACGCGCCAUGCGGCCCCAUCCGCCGACCUCUGGGAGGCACAGACUGACGAGGAUGAGCUGGGCUUCCCGUACGACUUUGUGGAGUUUUUUACGGAGUGGUACUUGAAACAGCUCGAGACGGCCAAGCUCGAAUUCCUGAAUAGCCUAUCUGAUGAGGCCCGAGACCAGUUUGAGCGGUACGUCGCCGCCUGCGAGCUCGUGCACCGCCGUAACGCGCACAAGCUGCAGGGCCAAGUGAACCUCUAAAGAAGGCUACUGUGGUCGUGCUGCUACUGGUCUCUUGUCGCAUCGACGAAGCGGCAUGUGCUGAUGUGCUGGUCACUCUGCCGAGGUCAUUUUUUUUUAUUUGCGGUACCUCGAAUCACCGUCUGUAUCGCGCGCGCCCACCCUCCUCCUCGUCCUUCUCUGUUGCUCCGCCGUCAUUUUCGCGGCGAGCAUUUCUGCUCCACGUGUGAGCAUGGUACCCUGUGGUGAUCCUGAGCAUUGCAUCCGGGAGGACGCUAUCCGCUCAUCGCUGGGUCUCUCGGCCUCGCCCUGCCCCCUUUUGCGUCUGCGCCUCUGACCACCGCAAUGACUACGUCGACGAUGUUGUUACUUCGCUCGUUCCUGCGUGUUCGUGGUGAGUGCGGCUAUCGUUUGCUGCAUGUGGGUCUCCCUUUCAUCAAGACCACAAAGGUCUGAUCAGGACAAUCUGUACCCCAAGUGUCGAGUGCAUCCAUAGUUGCUCUGACGGUGCCGCGGAUGGACGAGAUCAAGUGGGUGGCUGACCUGCCUCAAGGUUCACCUCCGAUCGCUGCAGCUCCAGCCCCGCGAGUGUGCCCUGUUUUCCUUUGUUCUCUUUUCAGGAUCCGCGUCGCAAAGAGCUACUCCGCGACACCUCUUUGAAUCUCUCUCCCCCCCUCUCUCGGUUUUACGCAUCUGGUCGUGCUCGCAUCGAUUUGCUCUACCCUGCCUCACCAACUGGGCCGACGUGCAG
rnacentral:misc_RNA from 1 species